rnacentral:tRNA from 2 species
CGGGCUGUGGCGCAGUUGGUAGCGCGCGUCGUUCGGGACGACGAGGCCGUGGGUUCGAGUCCCGCCAGCCCGACCA